UACGUAGGGUGCGAGCGUUAAUCGGAAUUACUGGGCGUAAAGCGUGCGCAGGCGGUGAUGUAAGACCGAUGUGAAAUCCCCGGGCUUAACCUGGGAACUGCAUUGGUGACUGCAUCGCUCGAGUCCGGUAGGGGAGUGUGGAAUUCCCGGUGUAGCGGUGAAAUGCGCAGAUAUCGGGAGGAACACCAGUGGCGAAGGCGGCACUCUGGGCCGGUACUGACGCUGAGGAGCGAAAGCGUGGGGAGCGAACAGG
rnacentral:rRNA from 1 species